rnacentral:lncRNA from 1 species
AUCCCAUCGACAGAGGAGCCUGGUGGGCCACAGUCCGUGGGGUCGCAAGACUUGGUCACGACUUAGCAACUAAACCACCAUCAGCACCUGAAACUUGAGAGCAGAAAGUGACGUGCUGCUUGAAUAACUCAUUUGAUAAAUGAGUUCAUCGCAAAUGUGUCAGGUUUUAUGGCAAUUAGAUAUAUUCCGAAGAAGCUUGCGGGUUCUGACUGGACAUGUUUGUCAGGGAGAUGCCUGCAUAUUUUGUGCAUUGAAGACAAUAUUUGCACAGUUUCAACACAGUCGAGAGAAAGCCCUCCCCUCGGAUAACAUAAGGCACGCCCUUGCAGAGAGCUUCAGAGACGAGCAGCGGUUUCAGCUGGGCCUGAUGGAUGACGCCGCAGAGUGCUUUGAAAAUAUACUGGAGAGGAUUCAUUUUCACAUAGUGCCAAGCAGAGACGCAGACAUGUGUACCUCUAAAUCUUGUAUCACUCACCAAAAGUUUGCUAUGACUCUGUAUGAGCAGUGUGUGUGUCGUAGCUGUGGAGCAUCAUCAGAUCCUCUACCUUUUACAGAAUUUGUACGGUACAUUUCUACAACAGCCCUGUGCAAUGAAGUUGAAAGAAUGAUGGAAAGGCAUGAGCGAUUUAAGCCUGAUAUGUUUGCAGAAUUGCUGCAAGCAGCAAAUACAACUGAUGACUACAGGAAAUGUCCUAGUAACUGUGGCCAAAAAAUAAAAAUUCGGCGUGUUUUAAUGAACUGCCCAGAGAUUGUUACAAUCGGUUUAGUCUGGGACUCUGAGCAUUCUGACUUGACUGAAGAUAUUGUUCGGAAUCUGGCAACCCAGCUUUAUCUUCCUGGGCUUUUUUAUAGAGUUACUGAUGAAAAUGCCAGAAAUAGUGAGCUUCACCUUGUUGGCAUGAUUUGCUACACCAGCCGACAUUACUGUGCCUUUGCUUUUCAUACCAAGAGUUCCAAAUGGGUAUUUUUUGAUGAUGCAAAUGUGAAAGAGGUUGGAAGUAGAUGGAAAGAUGUGGUCUCCAAGUGUAUCCGAUGCCAUUUCCAGCCAUUGCUUUUGUUUUAUGCGAACCCAGAUGGCACAGCAGUUUCCACUGAAGAUGCACUCAGGCAGGUCAUCAGCUGGUCACAUCAUAAAUCUAUUGCAGAAAAUAUAGGAUGUGAAAAGCCCUCGAUUUCUAAGUCAGAAAAUUCAAAAGAAAAUGGAUUUGGUGAUCAGACAAAACAGAGGGAAAAUCAGAAAUUUCAAGCAGAUAGCAUUUCAUCAUUUAAUCGGAGCCACAUUCAAACAAGUAGCGGUAGAGGACCAGUUAAGUCAUGUCACAGUGAUCAAAGGGAAAAAAUAAAAGACAUUUCCAGAGAAUGUGCUCUAAAAGCCAUUGAACAGAAAAACUUACUUUCCUCACAAAGGAAAGAUUUGGAGAGGGGACAGAGAAAAGAUUUGGGUAGACAUAGAGAUUUGGUUGAUGAAGACCCUCCACAUUUCAAGACUGGAUCACCUCCUACCCUAAAUGGCUUUAGACAGUAUGGGAAUCCACAUCUAUAUCAUAGUCAAGGGAAAGGACCAUGUAAGCAUGACCGAACUGCCCAUCAGAGUCGAACUUCUGCACAAACCUUAAGUUCAAGUAAAUCCCAGAUUCUUGCUUCAGGAGAGAAAAUAACUGGCAAAAGUAAGAGUGACAGUGGUACCGGGUAUGAUACAGACAGUAGCCAAGAUUCUCGCGAUAAAGGAAGCAGCUCUAAUGGCAGCAAUAAAAGCCGAAACCGAGGGUGGAAACCUAUGAGAGAAACAUUAAAUGUUGAUAGCAUUUUUAGUGAAAGUGAAAAAAGGCAGCAGAGUCCACGGCAUAAAUCAAACAUCAGUAACAAGUCUAAAUGUAGCAAAGAUCAGAGUUUUAACAACUGGCCGAAAGAGAAUCCAAAGCAAAAGUGUUUAAUGACUAUAUAUGAAGAUGAAAUGAAGCAAGAAACGGGAAGCAGGACUUCCCUUGAGUUUAAUGGAAAAGUAGCAGAGAAAAGUAAAGCCCUCAGAGAAACUAAAGCUCAUGGUGACAACUGGCAGAUGCAAAGGACAGAGUCUGGAUAUGAAAGCAGUGAUCAUAUCAGUAAUGGCUCUGCUAAUUUGGACUCGCCUAUUAUUGAUGGAAAUGGUACCGUGGUGGAUAUCAGUGGUGAUAAAGAAACCGCAUUUUUCAGUGAUCAGAUUAAGACAAGCAACCUAAACACAGAACGUGUGAACUAUACCUCCCAACAGAGCAAAAAUCACUUAGAAGGCUUUAAAAGAGAACUCAAGAACUUAGAUGUAGCCUCUAAAGCUCAUGAGUUCCACCCAGAAUCGCACCUACAAAUAAAAAAUCCUUUGAUAAAAAGGUCACAUAUACAUGAAACCAAUGGAAAGACAUUCCCUUCAUUCAAUCCAGAAAUACUCAAGGACCACACAGUCAGAGAGCAUACCCACCAGUCAGAUGAACAGAAACUUGAAAAAUCAAGUGAACCCAAGUUUUCUGAGUGGCUUAAUAAAGAAAAGUCUGAGAGAACAGGUUUGCUUUUUCACAUUGACGAUAACUCUGGUUCUGGAAAGAGAGGGAACAGUAAUGAAGCAGUCUCACCAUCUUCAUCACGGUCUUCACACAUGAGAACUGUGGGGUCAAAGCCAGAAACCACUCCCCUCAUCCAGCAGCAAAAUAUGAUGGAACGAUGUUACUAUGAGAACUCUCUACCCAGGGAACCUCUGGUUCAGUCAACCUGUAGAUAUGACAGUUGUCAGAUGCCAAAACUUGUUUGCCAGAAUGCACCACCCCCUCUGCCACCAAAGAAAUAUGCCAUGACCAGUGUGCCACAGUCAGAGAAAAAUGAUUCUACUCCUGAUGUCAAAGUAGCAGAGACGUUUAAGACUAACUCUCCUAGUCUUCUGAAGCACAGUCCAAGUGCAGCCUCAGAGCCAGGCGUAGACAUGAGUCCGUAUGUGAAUGAUGAAAGAUUUAAGGAUACAUUUCAAGCCAAAGAGUAUGUCGGCAACACAUCAAACACCCAAUCCAGCUCUUCAGCUAAAGAUUUUCAGGCAGACUCGGGUGUAGCUGUUGGUGCUUUCUGCCAGCCAGAAACAGACUCUAGUUCUACAUGUCCAAAUGAGACAGUUUCAUUAACUACCUAUUUUUCGGUUGAUAACUGCAUGACUGAUACAUAUAGAUUGAAAUACCAUCAGAGGCCCAAGCUUUGCUUUCCAGAGAGCAGUGGCUUUUGUAAUGAUAGUUCACUGUCUCAGAAUGAAAGAGAGCUAGGACCUGGGUUACAUAGUAGUUUUGGUUCAAACUGCCCUUCUGAGCAAAAACAGAAACCUGGUAUUCACUGUAAUAGAUAAAUGAUGACUCCGGUGGGCUUUUGCUUCUCAGAGACCAUUUAAGAAUCAACUGAUCAAACCUAGUGCUAUAUGAAAUUAAAACCAUGGCAUUAUUAGUCAUUAAUCACUUUAACUUUCUAUACAGAUCUUUUGUCUUAUGAAAAUCAACUUAUUGGGUAUUUUGGAAAUUCCCUCUGAAUAGCCUUGGCAUGCCUCAAAAAAUAGAAAAUCAGGCUGUGUCCAGAAAGUCAUUUCUCACACGCUGCAGUUGAGUAAAAAUGUAAUUUGACCCUUUAUUUUUUGACUGGUAAACCCAUAAGUAUUAAACUAAGCAGUACUCAUAUGUAGACUGGUUAACUGUGCUCACUGAAAGAUAGCAGAUGGCAGGUAGUUUGCAUAGUCCAAGUAGUAUUUGCUUUGUGAGGAAGCACUUUCUAAUGGGUAGCCAAAAGAAGGCUUCACCCAUUUGCUUUUGACUUCUGUGAUAGUCUACUACAUAUGAUUCCUUAAGUGUCUUAAAAAAAAAAAAAAUCAACCCAUGAAAUUGAUAGCAUUUCAGGAAAAAAGCCUUAAUGGUAAAGCAAUUUUUAAUUAAACUCUCAAGGUCGGAAGAGACUUAAUUUUGCUCCUAGAAUUUUUACCUUCAGAAUAUCCUUUGUUGUAUUUAUAAACAUUACUUCAGUCGUGUAAGCUAAAAAUAAUUAAAAUACUUCACUUUAGUAUAUUUAUUUGUUACUUUUUUUCUAGUUUUAUAUGAAAUAUGAAAGGUUUUUAUUUUGGUUUGGUUUACUUUGGGCUGCUAGUAACCAGUGUUAGGGAUUAACCUAAAGCCUUUUUUUAAGACUAUCACUGUGACUGCCUAAAUUUUCCAUAGUACCUAUUUGUAGAUUGUCAGCGCAUUUUAAUGAUAUUCAAUCUUGAAUUUGAAAAUCAUUCUGGGUUUCCAGAUUAAAUAUUUGCUAUUCAUAUAGGUUUAAUUUUAAUGAAAUACAUUAAAUUGGGCAUCCUUCCCUUUUUUCUG